rnacentral:rRNA from 1 species
CCUACGGGAGGCAGCAGUAGGGAAUAUUGCUCAAUGGGCGAAACCCUGAACCAGCAACGCCGCGUGGGGGAUGAAUGUUUUAUGAUUGUUAACUCCUUUUUUUAGAGAAGAUUAUGACGGUAUCUAACGCAUAAGCACCGGCUAACUCCGUGCCAGCAGCCGCGGUAAUACGGAGGGUGCACGCGUUACUCGGAAUCACUGGGCGUAAAUAGUGCUUUGGCGGGGUAAUAAGUCACAUGUGAAAUCCUGUAGCUUAACUCCAGAACUGCAUUUGAAACUGUUACUCUGGAGUGUGGGAGAGGUAGGUGGAAUGCUUGGUGUAGGGGUAAAAUCCGUAGAGAUCAAGAGGAAUACUCAUUGCGAAGGCGACAUGCUGGAACAUUACUGACGCUGAUGCACGAAAGCGUGGGGAGCGAACAGGAUUAGAUACCCGUGUAGUC